UCCUUCCCUCCCCUCCCCCUGCUGUUGGACCCUCCCCUUUUCAGAAAGAAAAACAGUUAAAGGAAGCCAACGGACAGUCCUGUUCAGCAUUCCGACUCAUGUGCCUUUUAAUGGGCGCCUUUGGGAGACUUGACGGCUUAAAGGGGGACCCUGGUGGUGGAGAUUUCGGGCACUGGCCGGGCCCUCGUCAGGGAGGAUGAAGGAGAUGGCCUCUGAGGGUCCCUUCCAGCCUGGAUUCUUGUGCCUAUGAUGAAGGUCCCCGCAUCCCAGUUUCCCCAUUGGCAAUAUGAGGAGGUUGCACUGGAGAGACUGAGCUCCUCUCCGGCUCUAGAUUUUGGGUCCUGUGAUCCGCGUCCCGGGGAUGCUCUGGAUGGCCGUGAAUCUUGGAAGCUCCGUAUCCUCCGAAACAUCCAAACUGCAGGGCCCAGGACAUGGAAGUUGAAAGGUCACCCAGCCAUGAUGGGAUUUGAAUCCGGCUCCUCCUGACUCCAUGUCCAGUGCUCCAGCCGCUCUCCCACGCUGCCACAAAGCAAGUCGCUCCUGAAACCAGAGUGCUGAUCCGAAAGGACCUUUCUCAUUUUCUGAUUAGAUAAAAUUUUAAUUGUGACUUAGCACAAUCUUAAUGGUGAUAAACUGUGUCUUGUCCUUGCAGUUAAUAAAGGAUGAAGCUUUGCAGAUACCAGAUAGUGGUAAUAAGUUUUAACACCUUCCCCUGGAGUGUCUGCAAGACCAUUAGCUGAUUAGAAAAGUAAAAUGCUUUUGUGCAAGCUCAGCCCCUAACUGGGAGAGCGGAAGGGACCUCGGGGGCUGUGCGGGGGCCCCUUCUCCGCAGGGUCCCAAGCUGCUUGGGUUUGAGGUCUCUGAUGGGGGAAGGUAUUGAUUAAUGCAAGGUGGCUCACUAGGUGGUUGGGUGGAGAGGCAGGAGAGGCUGUUGGUGGGCGAGUUGUGAGACUGGGCCAGGCAGAGGGAGGAGAUGGAGAAGGACGGAGGGCCCCGGGCAGAUCCCAGAACCAGCUCCUCGGGGCUCCUUUUGUAUCUUCAGAGCUUAGUACAGUGCCCGGCACAGGGAGGCACUGGCAUGCAUGCUUAUUGAUCGAUUGGGAAUAGGAAUGAGGGAGGUGAGGCUAGAAUUGGAGGUUGGAGCCAGGCUUAAAACCCAGGUGGACGAGCCUCUACACAGGGCUGGAGGUUUCCCAAGUACCCUGGGUAAAAAAGCAACCAGAAGUGGAGGAGAACCCAGAAGUCAGGGAAACUGGGGCAGCCAGAGAAGGGAAAUGGAGGCGCCUUCUGGUGGGGGCUCCUGGAGAGACUUCAUUGGAGGGAGGAAGGGACUGGGGCUCAGGGGGAAGGGAUGGCGCCAGUGCCCAGAGCCAGUUCCCAGACUGGAGGAGAGAAUGUUUAAUGGGAAAGGUGACAGUAAAUAGGAUGUAAGUUCUAAGCUAUCCCAGAGAAUCCAGAGAAGCCUGCCCAGUGGAGGGAGCUCCCACCGAGGUUCAAGUUGGGUCGCUGACCUGUCCUGGUUGUGGGAGACCAUGGGCAAGACCCCAAGUCAGGUGAAGAACGGCUCAUUGGUGAAAGGCAUUCCCACAGCCAAGAACUUCGUGGGGACAAAUGUCACUAAAUGUUGUAUUUUGAUUUUGUUUAGUUUAGCCAUAGCCAUGAAAUCCUUUGCCUUACAAUAAUUGCUAACCCUUCCUUCUUGAUAUAUUUUUCUUGAUUUAAAAAAAAAAUCUCCAUUGAAUUAG